GUGGCCUCCCCGGGAACAGCCGGUUGUGUUUUCUCCCGUUUGUUUUUUCUUGCAGGUGAAGAGGAAGGCGUCAACUGCAGGAAGGUGCUAGUUAGUUGCCGCGCUGCUUUUGUCGAGGAUGGAAUCGGACCUCCGGCCCUCUGAAAGCCGAGGCGAGCGAACGGGGCCGAGAGGAGGGGCCGAGGUUGGGAAUUGCAGGGAAGCGUUUGAAAGUUAGCACGGGGGAGAAGGCUGUACAGGAGCAGGGCCCUACGGUCAGGUAAAGGGAACGGAUUACUUUUUCCCUCGCUGUUAGCGUGUCCCGGGCAGGGCAGUUCCAGCCUCUGCGUGUGUCAUCGUGUAGUUUGUUUCUUCUGUCUGCCGUGUCUUUGCCCUUCCUCGGCUCUAAAUGUCCUCGCGUCUCUUUGGGCUCGAGGAGCACGGCACGCGUCUCAGGGGCCAUCCCUAGGGUAUCGAACGCCCAUCUUCAUCGGCACGCUGCCGAUCGGGUGCUUUUUUAUUCUUGCGUUAUCAGCUUAAAGCGUGGGUAGGUCUUGGAAGUUUCCGGUCGGGAGUCUUUCGCGCAGCAUCGUCGCCGGCUGCGGCAUCAGCUCUGCUCCUUAGGCAUCCAUUUUCACGGACUGUGACGUAUCCCCUGCAUCCCUCCAUCCUAGGAUUCGGACUCCUACUUCUCGUCCGCCGUCUCGGUUUUGACGGUAGCUUCUUAUAACGGGCCAUAACGCGUGACUCUUUCUGGGGCUGCCAUAUAGCCUCCUCGCCUCCCAGUUGUUGCCCUCUAGGUCUUCUCGCCUGACAUGGUAUCUUGUCUGAGAGUCCUUAUCGCUUAGAGUUUAUCUUGGAAUCAAACCUUUUGUAGCGUUUAGCGUUAGUGUAUGCGUGUGCCUGUUUGGCUCAGAGCUGCCCUGCCUGGGGGGUGUAGAGUCAGGAGUAAGUAGAACGGCAGUAGAAGUCAACGGUUUAAAUGCUGAUACGCUUAGACCGCCUAGGCGACAGACGUACGGUCACCUCACAGUAGCCACCACAGGCUGUGCGGACGGUCAUUUCUAGAGCGUUUUAUGGCGACUGUUGGAGCGGUGUGGGAGCAGCUGUCCAGCAGUAGCAAAUUAGAUGGAAUCUCAAAGGCGUUAAGGCUCGUAGGUGUGGGAGCGUACUCUCUGGGGGGAGGCGCGUGGUUUUCUUUUUAACAACAGGCUGUAGUUGGAUGCCAGCUAGUAUCCCGAGCUGGAAGUGACACCUCCGGAUUUGUUAAGCAUCCGGGUGACUCGCAUGACUGUUUUGACAUGCGGAUGGAUGAGAUGCGCACCAAAGAGUGACGAGGGAGGUGAGCGGAGGGCCGUGAGAAGAUGGAGAGCCGCAAGCAAAGUAGGAUUUUGGCACCGGAGGCAGCUUGGGCAAGGUGGCACACGAGCCUUGACGUGACAACUGGAAACAGCAGCGGCAGGGCAGGUGAAGGGCCGAGUUUUUUGCAGGUGCAGCAGAUGGCCGCGGAGGGGCCGAGCCGCACGCAGACCGACAGUCUGAGAAGGUGAGGCAGUUGUCAGCCAGGUCGGUGUCUAAUACGGAAGUAUCGUAGGACCGCUCCGUUGAGCGCUCGCCUUGUUUUUGCAGGUGCUUUGGGAGCUGCCUUUGGGAUCGGAUGAGCGUUUGAAGCGAGCCGGGGUAGUCGCAAGGAGGAUCGUGGGUGACUCGUUAGAAGCGCAAGGGUAACUUUGUCUCUCGGUAUCUUAGGUAACGCCGGCGACGACGGCUGCAGCAUCUGACUCUGCAAAGAGCCGGUGAGCGGAACCCCGCGACGCUUCCGAGUACAGGGCGGUGUCGUGGAAGAGGUAGGCACGGAGCAGCGCGAUGCCAACGGCCGGUUGUGUUUUCUCCCGUUCGUGUUUUCUUGCAGGUGAAGAGGAAGGCGUCAACUGCAGGAACGUGCUAGUUAGUUGCCGCGCUGCUUUUGUCGAGGGUGGAAUCGGACCUCCGGCCCUGUGAAAGCUAAGUCGACCGAACGUGGCCGAGAGGAGGGGCCGAGGUUGGGAAUUGCAGGGAAGCGUUUGAAAGUUAGCACGGGGGAGAAGGCUGU